rnacentral:rRNA from 1 species
CUUAAAUUGAAGAGUUUGAUCAUGGCUCAGAUUGAACGCUGGCGGCAGGCCUAACACAUGCAAGUCGAGCGGCAGCGACAACAUUGAACCUU